GCUUUAACAGUGGCUAUUGCACUCCCCAGGAAGCAGUCCUUCAGGCUGGGAGGCAACAGAAAGCUCCCCAGCUUGCCUGACAUUGCUUGAGUUGGUAAAAAGAAGAGACUUUUGAGACUUUGAGAAGCGACUUUUAGUGGUGGCCCACACCAGCCUACAUCAGUGAGCAAGUUAUAACUCCUUGAAUGUCGUGAAAGACUUGAAGAGGCUUUCCAGAACUGUGUUCCUCAGAAAACUCAGAGGUCUUUGUGGUGAAACUUGGACAUGGAGGCUUGUUUCUGAGAAGACAAGACCCAUCAUAGCCUUAUACCGGCUGCUGAGGUUC